UACGAAGGGGGCUAGCGUUGCUCGGAAUCACUGGGCGUAAAGCGCACGUAGGCGGCUUUCUAAGGUCAGGGGUGAAAUCCUGGAGCUCAACUCCAGAACUGCCUUUGAUACUGGAGAGCUCGAGUCCGGAAGAGGUGAGUGGAACUGCGAGUGUAGAGGUGAAAUUCGUAGAUAUUCGCAAGAACACCAGUGGCGAAGGCGGCUCACUGGCCCGAUACUGACGCUGAGGCACGAAAGCGUGGGGAGCAAACAGG
rnacentral:rRNA from 1 species